AUACGUAGGGGGCGAGCGUUGUCCGGAAUGAUUGGGCGUAAAGGGCGCGUAGGCGGCCCGGUAAGUCUGGAGUGAAAGUCCUGUUUUUAAGAUGGGAAUUGCUUUGGAUACUGUCGGGCUUGCGUGCAGGAGAGGUAAGUGGAAUUCCCAGUGUAGCGGGGAAAUGCGUAGAGAUUGGGAGGAACACCAGUGGCGAAGGCGACUUACUGGACUGUAACUGACGCUGAGGCGCGAAAGUGUGGGGAGCAAACAGGAUUAGAUACCCUGGUAGUCCACACUGUAAACGAUGAAUGCUAGGUGUAGGGGGUAUCGACCCCUUCUGUGCCGCAGUCAACACAAUAAGCAUUCCGCCUGGGGAGUACGGCCGCAAGGCUUAAACUCAAAGGAAUUGACGGGG
rnacentral:rRNA from 1 species